rnacentral:rRNA from 1 species
UACGAAGGGGGCUAGCGUUGCUCGGAAUCACUGGGCGUAAAGGGCGCGUAGGCGGCCAUUCAAGGUCGGGGGUGAAAGCCUGUGGCUCAACCACAGAAUUGCCUUCGAUACUGUUUGGCUUGAGUAUGGUAGAGGUCAGUGGAAUGCGAGUGUAGAGGUGAAAUUCGUAGAUAUUCGCAAGAACACCAGUGGCGAAGGCGGCUGACUGGACCAUUACUGGACGCUGAGG